CCGGGCACUCAGGGCUCCGCGAGGGGGCGUCCUGGCCCCUCCCGCUUCCUCCCGCCCUUCUUCUUGCUGCCUGCUGGCCUCCUGGGUUUACGGUGUCACUGCGGCCAGGGCUGGGGGAACAGGACGUCUAGAAGACGGUGUGAGUGGAAGACAUUUUAGGUCUGGCCCCUGGAGUUUGGCUGCUUCUACCCCCACCUCUCUCCCAAGAAGGGGACUCCUCUUAAUGUAUCAGGUAUGGGAUUUCCUCCCUCUAGAAUUUCUGGUGCCUUGUUAUGCCACGGCUGCCAUUCUUAGAAAUGCUAGGGGGUUCUUUGUCUCAUCCUGUCUCUUCUACCCCAUCAGCCCCUUUUCAUUUGUGGGUUCUGUGAAGACAUUCCUGACUCAGAGCAUUCUAAGAAGUCACAGACUGGAGUGUGGUCCAGGGUUGGUCUCCCAGGAGGGAUAUUUUUAGGUGAUGCAGGCCCUGCUAGGCAGAAGCCUGAGUUAAUGAGAAUAGUCCUGGUGAUGGGGGAAGAGGGUGAGGUGGACCUCAUACCCUACCUUCCCAAAUUUCCCAUAAAUUUGUGGCUAUGCUGCCCUCUGGUGGCUGAAUUUUAGUCUAUCCUGACAGGGACAUCUUUGUCUCCAACAACCGCAAUUGCUCUCCCUCUUGCUGCCCGUUAGGACAGGCCUUGAGGAGAAAAGAGAACCCUGAGGGUCCCUCACUUUGCGAGAUUUAUCUUCAAAGAUCUGAACCCUGUGGCAUGUUGGUUAAGAAUUCGGGCUUUCCCAGCCAGAUAAGGCUGAGUUUCACUCUGUUCUGCCACUCACUGUGUGACUUUGCACAAGUUAUGUAACCUCUCUGGGCCUCAGUUUCUCUUUGUGUAAAUGGGAUAAAUAGUACCAACCUCACAGAACUCUGUGAGAAAUUAAAUGUGAUAAUGUAUGCAAACUAACACCCCCUACCAGCACACAGUAGCAAUGAAAACAAAGCAAUACAAAAACCUAACUGGGCUUUCUUCUAAUUUAGUUCCGUGGCUUUUUCCUCUCAACUCAUUUCAUUAUUCUGAUUUAGGGAAGCCUGGUAAAUUUUCUGAACCAUCCUCCCCCACCUCCACCUUGGACCUCCCCCUUUGCAUUCUGCUCUAAUCCUCAAACCCAAAGAGAAGAGGUUCCUUUCCCUUCUCCCUUGGGAGUGUUGGGGACCAGGUCUGAUGGGGGAUGAGGGAGGGGCAGAGGAGUCAAGCCCUGCUUUCUCUCCUUCCAUCACCUCUUUCACCUAAGAAGGGAGCCUAGAACUAGUUUCACAGUUUCUGGGGGGUCAUACUUCUGGCUCCUAGUGGAAAGAAGCCAUGAGAGAAAUAGGCAUCUGCUUUCCACCAAGUCGCUUGGUUCCAGGAUGGGUUUGGAAAGAGUAACAUGAGAUCACAGAUUCUAGUUCUGGUCAGUGGGGGCACUGGGUCAGAUUUAUUGCACUUGCAACAGAGUUUAAAUAAGUCCUGGGUGUCUG
rnacentral:lncRNA from 10 species